rnacentral:rRNA from 1 species
UACAGAGGGUGCGAGCGUUAAUCGGAAUUACUGGGCGUAAAGCGUGCGUAGACGGUUAUUUAAGUCGGGUGUGAAAGCCCCGGGCUCAACCUGGGAAUUGCAUUCGAGACUGAAUAGCUAGGGUACGGUAGAGGGAAGCGGAAUUUCCGGUGUAGCGGUGAAAUGCGUAGAUAUCGGAAGGAACACCGGUGGCGAAAGCGGCGCGCUGGACCUCUUCUGACGCUGAGGCGCGAAAGCCAGGGUAGCAAACGGG